rnacentral:rRNA from 1 species
GACGAACGCUGGCGGCGUGCUUAACACAUGCAAGUCGAACGGGCCCGCCCCUGUUUUUGGGGGUGGGUUGAGUGGCGAACGGGUGAGUAUCACGUGAGUAACCUGCCCCCUGCUCCUGGAUAACUGCUUGAAAGGGCGGCUAAUACGGGGUGUGCCGGCUGUUCCGCAUGGGCCUGGUCGGGAUAGUUUCAUCUUCGGGGGUUUCGGUGGGGGUUGGGCUCGGGGCCUAUCAGCUGGUUGGUGGGGUGAUGGCCCACCAAGGCGGUGACGGGUAGCCGGCCUGAGAGGGUGGGCGGCCACACUGGGACUGAGACACGGCCCAGACUCCUGCGGGAGGCAGCAGGGGGGGGUAUUGCACAAUGGGCGGAAGCCUGAUGCAGCGACGUCGCGUGAGGGAUGGAGGCCGUCGGGUGGUGAACCUCUUUCUCCGGUGGUGAAGGCCCUGUCCGUUGCGGCGGGGUUGACGGUAGCCGGGGAUGAAGCGCCGGCUAACUACGUG